AUAAUGUGAUUGAAACCAUUAUGGUAUUUACAUUCACUGUGAACUGUGUUUGUUGUUGUUCUAUAGAGCUGUAUGGACCCUCACUCCUCAUCACACAAACCAACAACAGUCACACCACUCUGUCCUGUUCUGCUACUGGACGGCCUGUUCCUACAGUAACCUGGGAAGACACAGAAAUUCUAGAAAAUUCCACAAUGGCCAAUGUCACCCAUCUCAAUGGAACUGUCACGGUCACCAUAACUUCUACGCUGGCAGCAUUCAGUCUACCUGACAAAGACACCAGCGUUGGCUGUAAGGUGUCACUGUUCUCUGGAGGUGUCACCAAGAACGUAUCCAUGGUUAUUCCAGCUAGAACACAAGCUUCAUUUCCUGGUGUACCUGAGGUCACUGAUGGUGACAGGAUCAGAGGGAUUGGUGCAGUGAUGAGUUCACUGUGUUUCAUUGCUGUGUGCUGUGGAACUGUGGUACUGUGGUGCAAACUCGGAAAUAAGAAAUUAAGGUAA
rnacentral:lncRNA from 1 species